CCUACGGGUGGCAGCAGUGAGGAAUAUUGGUCAAUGGGCGGAAGCCUGAACCAGCCAAGUCGCGUGAGGGAUUAAGGCCCUGCGGGUCGUAAACCUCUUUUGCCGGGGAGCAGUGGUCCGGACGCGUCCGGCCCGGGAGAGUCCCCGGAGACAACGCCUCGGCUAACUCCGUGCCAGCAGCCGCGGUAAUACGGGGGCUGCGAGCGUUCUCCGGAUUGAUUGGGUUUAAAGGGUGCGUAGGCGGGCAUUUAAGCCGGCGGUCAAAUGUCGGGGCUCAACCCCGGCCUGCCGUCGGAACUGGGGGCCUGGAGUGGGCGAGAAGUAUGCGGAAUGCGUGGUGUAGCGGUGAAAUGCAUAGAUAUCACGCAGAACCCCGAUUGCGAAGGCAGCAUACCGGCGCCCGACUGACGCUGAGGCACGAAAGUGCGGGUAUCGAACAGGAUUAGAUACCCUUGUAGUC
rnacentral:rRNA from 1 species